rnacentral:rRNA from 1 species
UGGGGAAUCUUGCGCAAUGGCCGAAAGGCUGACGCAGCGACGCCGCGUGGAGGAUGACGCCCUUCGGGGUGUAAACUCCUGUUGCCCGGGACGAAUACCCGUUUCGACGGGGGUGACGGUACCGGGUGAGGAAGCACCGGCUAACUCUGUGCCAGCAGCCGCGGUAAUACAGAGGGUGCGAGCGUUGUCCGGAAUCACUGGGCGUAAAGGGCGCGUAGGCGGCUGGGUAAGCGUGUGGUGAAAGCCCGGGGCUCAACCCCGGGUCGGCCAUGCGAACUGUCCAGCUGGAGCACGGUAGAGGCACAUGGAAUUCCGGGUGUAGCGGUGGAAUGCGUAGAGAUCCGGAAGAACACCGGUGGCGAAGGCGGUGUGCUGGGCCGUGGCUGACGCUGAGGCGCGACAGCGUGGGGAGCAAACA